rnacentral:misc_RNA from 1 species
GAUGAAGAACGUAGCGAAAUGCGAUAAGUAAUGUGAAUUGCAGAACUCAGUGAAUCAUCGAAUCUUUGAACGCACAUUGCGCCCCCUGGCCUUCCGGGGGGCAUGCCUGUCCGAGCGUCAUUUCUGCCCUCCAGCCCGGCUGGGUGUUGGGCGCUGUCCCCCCGGGGACACGCCCCAAAGGCAGUGGCGGCGCCGCGUCGGGUCCUCGAGCGUAUGGGGCUUUGUCACCCGCUCGGGACGGACUCGUCGGCGCUGGUCUUCCUCCAGGCGACCCUUCGGGGCUCGUCUUCCUUCGGUUGACCUCGGAUCAGGUAGGGUUACCCGCUGAACUUAAGCAUAUCAAUAAGCGGAGGA